rnacentral:rRNA from 1 species
CCAGACUCCUACGGGAGGCAGCAGUGGGGAAUAUUGCACAAUGGGCGCAAGCCUGAUGCAGCCAUGCCGCGUGUGUGAAGAAGGCCUUCGGGUUGUAAAGCACUUUCAGCGGGGAGGAAGGCAAUAAGGUUAAUAACCUUGUUGAUUGACGUUACCCGCAGAAGAAGCACCGGCUAACUCCGUGCCAGCAGCCGCGGUAAUACGGAGGGUGCAAGCGUUAAUCGGAAUUACUGGGCGUAAAGCGCACGCAGGCGGUCUGUCAAGUCGGAUGUGAAAUCCCCGGGCUCAACCUGGGGACUGCAUUCGAAACUGGCAGGCUGGAGUCUUGUAGAGGGGGGUAGAAUUCCAGGUGUAGCGGUGAAAUGCGUAGAGAUCUGGAGGAAUACCGGUGGCGAAGGCGGCCCCCUGGACAAAGACUGACGCUCAGGUGCGAAAGCGUGGGGAGCAAACAGGAUUAGAUACCCCGGUACUC